ensembl:snRNA U2 U2 spliceosomal RNA
AUCAUUUCCCAGCCUUUUGGCUAACAUCAAGUAUACUGUCUGUUCUUAUCAGUUUAAUAUCUGAUAUGUGCUCUAUUCGAGAACAAUAUAUUAAAUGGACUUUUGGAACUAGGAGAUGGAAUAGGAGCUUGUUCCACCUACUCCACACAUCAACCUGGUAUUGCAGUACCUCCAGGAAUGGUGCAUUCUCC